CGAAAAACGUAUAAGCGUCUAACCCAAUCCAAAACUGUAUAUCAAACGUACCCAGAAGAAAUUGAGACCUCUAAGAAGCUGGUGAUUUCAAACAACGGCCAAAAAUCGAUACCAAUGCACACCUUUGGGACUUGGUUUCUGAAGCUGAAUUGGUAGGAGAAUGCACCAUAGCCUCAGGUGGAGGGGAAACAGGAAGAUUUGAAUUGACUCCACCGGUGGCCCUUAUUUCCGUCAUCGGAAGUCGGUUAUCCCAGAUUCGGCCGGAAGAUCCCUGCCUCCGGAAUGAACAUGAUGAUCUCUGUAAUGUACUCAUGGCGUUGAUCAAUUAAUGCGGGUGUUCUUUAUUUUUUAUAUUUUUGGUUUCUAUAGGUUCCUUUAACCAACUCAACGGCUAUUGGUGAAUGGACUGUGUUUGAUUUCCACUUUUUGUGGGUGGUUGUUUAUUACAAGUUGAC
rnacentral:lncRNA from 1 species